UACGUAGGGUGCAAGCGUUGUCCGGAAUUAUUGGGCGUAAAGAGCUCGUAGGUGGCCUGUCGCGUCGGCUGUGAAAACUCGGGGCUCAACUCCGAGCUUGCAGUCGAUACGGGCAGGCUAGAGUUCGGCAGGGGAGACUGGAAUUCCUGGUGUAGCGGUGAAAUGCGCAGAUAUCAGGAGGAACACCAGUGGCGAAGGCGGCUUCCUGGUCUGCGACUGACGCUGUGGCGCGAAAGCUAGGGGAGCAAACGGG
rnacentral:rRNA from 1 species